rnacentral:misc_RNA from 1 species
CCACUCCAACAGGCCGUGACCAUAUAACCAUGGUGACGGGAUUGAGGGGCUGCAGUGGACAACCUGGCGUUGUCAUGCACCCCUUGAAAGAAUAAAGUCGGUGCAAUGCACACCGGACGGCGACGGUGUCACAACGAGACGGUCGUCACAACGGUGCGAUGAGUUGUUUGACCGUGCUCGCGGUGGCCCGUUCCGAAUCCGUACGGCAUUGCGACACGACGACAUCAGGCAGUCAGUCGACCUACCG